rnacentral:rRNA from 1 species
CCGCGUACUCCGCUCGACCCGUCUGCCGUCAUGGGUUUGCGAUGGCAGAAAAAUUUAUUUUUGGCUGUUGUAGGCUGAGGGGUCCCUUUUAUUAGGUGACGAUGACGGCUGUUUGGCGCGAAUCGACCCGUCUUGAAACACGGACCAAGGAGUCUAGCGUAUGUGCGAGUCGAAGGGUGUGGAAACCUGGAGGCGCAGUGAAAGCAAAUUUAUCCAAUAAAAUGGUGCAAUUUGAGGCGGCAUACGAUCGUUGAUUGUAAGUCCGACCUAGAGCAUAUAUGCUAGGACCCGAAAGAUGGUGAACUAUGCUUGAGUAGGGCGAAGCCAGAGGAAACUCUGGUGGAGGCUCGUAGCGGUGCUGACGUGCAAAUCGCUCGUCAAACUUGAGUAUAGGGGCGAAAGACUAAUCGAACCAUCUAGUAGCUGGUUUCCUCCGAAGUUUCUCUCAGGAUAGCAGGCCCAAAUUGUAUUUGUUGUGUGUGGUAAAGCGAAUGAUUAGCGUACUCGGGGGCGCUAAGCCUCUGGACGAUUCUCAAACUUUAAAUGCGCACGGAUGUUGCCGCUUGGGUGGGCGGCAUCUCGAAAAAAUUGGGCUUUGUGGGCCAUUUUUGGUAAGCAGAACUGGCGAUACGGGAUGAACCGUAAGCGUGGUUAAGGCGUCAAAUUGUCCGCUUACAGAUUCCACAAAAGGUGUUGAUUCAUCGAGACAGCAGGACGGUGGCCAUGGAAGUCGGAAUCCGCUAAGGAGUGUGUAACAACUCACCUGCCGAAUGAAUUAGCCCUGAAAAUGGAUGACGCUAAAGCGGGCAGCCGACACCACGCCGUUUGGGCAAAAAAAACCAUUCUUUUCCAAAUGAGUAGGAGGAACGUGCGGUCGUGUUAAGCGUGCGUGCAAACGUGCGUGGAACGGCCGCUAGUGCAGAUCUUGGUGUUAGUAGCAAAUAUUCAAACGAGAACCUUGAAGGGCGAAGCGGGGAAGGGUUCCACGCGAACAUUGAUUGAGCGUGGGUGAGUCGUUCCUAAGCCGCGUGGCAAUAGCUAAAUACCGGCGAAAGGGAAGCAGGUUGAUAUUCCUGCACACGGAUGUGGACGCGGUGACGCGAAAUUGUUUUGGGACGGUGAAGCUGGCGAUGGCCCUGGGCAGAGUUUUCUUUUCUGUUUAACUGGCUAAACUGCGCUGUGUGGAAUCCGCUUGUCGGGAGAAACACGCGCGUUUGGGAAUAGCGCAGGGUUUUUUUCCUGCGUCCAGGACGCCAUCGUCGGACCUUGAAAAACUGUUCCAUUGUUUUUUUACAAACAAU